rnacentral:rRNA from 1 species
GGCGUGCUUAACACAUGCAAGUCGAACGGUGAAGGAGGAGCUUGCUUCUCUGGAUCAGUGGCGAACGGGUGAGUAACACGUGAGCAACCUGCCCCUGACUCUGGGAUAAGCACUGGAAACGGUGUCUAAUACUGGAUACGAGACGCGACCGCAUGGUCAGUGUCUGGAAAGAAUUUCGGUUGGGGAUGGGCUCGCGGCCUAUCAGCUUGUUGGUGAGGUAAUGGCUCACCAAGGCGUCGACGGGUAGCCGGCCUGAGAGGGUGACCGGCCACACUGGGACUGAGACACGGCCCAGACUCCUACGGGAGGCAGCAGUGGGGAAUAUUGCACAAUGGGCGAAAGCCUGAUGCAGCAACGCCGCGUGAGGGAUGACGGCCUUCGGGUUGUAAACCUCUUUUAGCAGGGAAGAAGCGAAAGUGACGGUACCUGCAGAAAAAGCGCCGGCUAACUACGUGCCAGCAGCCGCGGUAAUACGUAGGGCGCAAGCGUUAUCCGGAAUUAUUGGGCGUAAAGAGCUCGUAGGCGGUUUGUCACGUCUGCUGUGAAAUCUGGGGGCUCAACCCCCAGCCUGCAGUGGGUACGGGCAGACUAGAGUGCGGUAGGGGAGAUUGGAAUUCCUGGGUGUAGCGGUGGGAAUGCGCAGAUAUCAGGAGGAACACCGAUGGCGAAGGCAGAUCUCUGGGCCGUAACUGACGCUGAGGAGCGAAAGGGUGGGGAGCAAACAGGCCUAGAUACACUGGUAGUCCACCCCGUUAAACGUUGGGAACUAGUUUGUGGGGUCAUUCCACGGG